UGUAGGCUGAAGCAUGAAGUGUGGAGUUGGAUCAAAAUCAAAUACAAUUUUCGUAAAGUAAUGUUCUGACAUUUUGUCAGUUAACCACUUUUGAAUUCCGAUUUCAGAAUCGAUCAAAGAACAAGAAACUAGGCAACAGGCUUCGAGAUGGAGUUCUUGCUUUAUGUCGCACUUGCUAUGUUAUGUCUUGCUCUUUCCGUUUGUUGAAUUUCACAUUUACAGUGUCCAUGUCCAUCCCUAUGACUGUGACCUUUCUCUCACUAAGCUCUUCGGCUUCCAAUCCAUCAAAACAUUAUCCGAGGAAGAGCGAUACAGAAGAUCCUGUAAUUUGAAUUUCAUUCAAACUGGUAAUCACAUGUUCGGCAGUAUCCAAACACUCCCAAUCAUACUCUAUUCAGUUUCUGCUUUCUAAUUCUCUCCUUCCAUUAUUGCCCAUAACAAACUCUACUAUGCGUUGCACACCAAUAUAGCCAUUAUUAUUCUCAUCUGAGCUUUCCUUUGUUCAAUUCACCAACCCCCAAAUUUUCCAACUUAAGGCCUCUGAGCUCCCUUUGAGAAUUGAGAUCCUCCAGUGGUGGCUCAUCUUGUGUGAUCUUUUUAAGAGAAUGGUUCGUGGAAGAGAUGCCUGUUGGGAACAUUGUGUCCUGGUUGAUGCAACUAAACAAAAGGUCAGGUGUAAUUAUUGUCAACGGGAAUUCAGUGGAGGUGUAUAUAGGAUGAAAUUUCACUUGGCUCAAAUUAAAAACAAAGAUAUUGUUCCAUGUACCGAAGUUCCAACUGAUGUACGGGACCAUAUUCAAAGUAUAUUAAGUGCUCCCAAGAAGCCAAAAACUCCUAAGAAACAGAAGGCAGAUCAAGCCACUGUUGCAAAUGGUCAACAGAAUAGCUCUUCCGCUAGUGGUGGAUUGAUUCCAUCACAACCAUAGAUAUAGUGGGCAGAAUGGUAGUGCUUGUCCGUCUUUAUUAUUUCCACAUCCUUCACCAAGUACCCAGCCAUUGGUGGAUGAUGCCCAAAAGCAAAAGCAGGAUGAUGCUGAUAGAAAACUUGCCAUAUUUUUCUUCCACAACUCUAUUCCUUUUAGCGCUGCUAAAUCCAUGUAUUAUCAGGAUAUGGUGGAUGCUGUAGCUCAGUGUGGGGUAGGCUAUAAAGCACCAAGUUAUGAGAAAUUAAGAUCUACUCUUUUGGAAAAAGUGAAAGCUGAUAUUCACAGUGAUUACAAAAAAUACAGAGAUGAGUGGAAAGAAACAGGAUGCAGUCUUAUGUGAUAACUGGUCUGAUGGUAGGACUGGAUCACUUGCUGUGUUUUCUAUUGCAUGCCCAAAAGGAACGUUGUUCUUGAAGUAAGUUGAUGUUUCAGGUCAUGAAGAUGAUAGUGCUUAUUUGUUUGAGCUUCUGGAGUCAGUUGUGCUGGAAGUUGGUGUUGAAAAUGUUGUUCAGGUUAUAACAGAUGCUAGUGCUGGUUAUGUUUGUGCUGGAAGGCUUCUCAUAGCGAGGUAUAGUUUUUUGUUUUGGUCUUCUUGUGUUGCUUAUUGUAUUGAUAAGAUGUUAGAGGAUAUUGGUAGACAAGAUUGGGUAAGCACAGUCCUGGAAGAGGCAAAGACAAACACACAGUACACUUAUAGUCAUGCUUGGAUAUUGAAUAUAAUGAGAAAGUUCACAAGAGGGAAGGAAUUAAUCAGGCCAAAAAUUUCUAGAUUUCUCACUAAUUUCCUUUCCUUGAGAUCUAUAGUGAUGCAGGAGGAUAAUUUAAAACAUAUGUUUUCUCAUUCAGAAUGGUUCUCUUCCAUAUAUAGCAGACGUCCAGAUGCACAAGCCAUUAAGUCAUUGCUAUAUUCAGAUAGAUUUUGGAAGUAUGCUCGUGAAGCUGUGAGUGUUUCUGAGCCACUGGUUACAUUCCUAAGGAUGGCUGAUGGUGAUAUGCCUGCUAUGGGUUAUAUAUAUGAAGGAAUAGAGAGGGCAAAGGUUAUGAUCGACCUAUUAUAAGGGAAUCGAAGAAAAAUACAUCCCUAUCUGGGAUAUAAUUGAUCGGAGAUGGAAUAUGCUACUUCAUUCAUCAUUACAUGCUGCAGCUGCAUUUCUUAAUCCUUCAAUUGCUUACAAUCCAAACUUCAAGAAAGAUUUGAGGAUGAGGAAUGGGUUUCAAGAAGACAUGCUCAGGUUGGCAACUACAGAUAAAGACAAAAUGGAAAUCACCGAAGAACUUCCUACUUACAUCAAUGCCCAAGGUGCACUUGGGACUGACUUUGCUGUCUCGGGAGGAACACUGAAUGCUCCUGGCAUGGCUCUUCAACAAUUAAAUACCUUCCGCUGUGUUGUAAUGUGAGAAUCAUUGUCGAAGUGCAUUUUAUGGUUCUGAAAUCCCCACACUCCAGAAAGCAGCAGUGCGGAUACUUAGCCAACCCUGUAGUUCUCUUUGGUAGAGGUGGAACUGGAGCACUUUCGAGGGUAUACAUAACAAAAAACGUAACAGAGUGGAGCUGGAAAAAUUCAGUGAUUUGGUUUUUGUCCAUAAAUCUUUGGUUACAAACCAUUUUCCAACGCAGGGAAGCAAAAUCUGAACCCAUCAACUCUGAUGAUAUAGAUUGUAGCUGUGAAUGGCCCUCUGAAAUAGAAUCUUUACCCCCACUUAUGGAUGAUUCGUGGUUGGACGAUUUUCCCCUUCAAUGCAGAGGAAGUCCUUAGCAUUGUGAGGUAAGGACAAGGACAAAUUUAAUUAACUCGUGUUGUAUAAUUUUGUUAUUUUGCACAUUUGCAUAAUAGUUGAAAUUUAUGUAAAGAAAUAUACAGUUCAUGAUUAAAUUGAUUAAUGAUGGCCACGGUCUUUACUUUUA